rnacentral:lncRNA from 1 species
GUUUAUGUUUUACAUAUUUGUUUUUCGUUCAUUUUUUUUACAUAAAUAAGGCUGUUAGUUUUCUCGUUUGAAUUGUUUUACAGUGUCUUAUCGGGGCCUUUUAUAGUUGACUAUGCGGUAUGGGCUUUGCUCAUUGUUGAAGGCCGUACGGUGACCUAUAGUUGUUAAUGUCUGUGUCAUUUUGGUCUUUUGUGGAUAGUUGUCUCAUUGGCAAUCAUACCACAUCUUCUUUUUUAUA